GUAUGUAUAAUAAUGAAAAUAGUAUAAAAUAUUCAAAAUAUUAUUUCAAAAAAAUAAAAAGAAGCUGUUCUGUCGAUAGUUUUAUUAGAAAAGAGAAAAAAAAAAGAAAAAAGUUUAAUUUAGAAACAUACCCAAAAAAAAAUUAUUCGAGAUUUGCAGUACAUAAUAAAAUAUGUUAUGAUAAUUUUUAUGAACAAGAGGAGAACAACAAGUUUAGUACAGAUACACAAGGACAAGGGGAAAGAAAUGACCUAUAUACAGACAUGCAGGAAGAUGAUGGAGUUUGCAAUUUUAACCUAGAAUCAACAGAGCAUAAAGAAAGUAACAAAAAUAACAUAAGAAUAUACCACAAAUAUAAAUACAAUUUAAAUUAUAUAAAAAAAUUUUAUUACAUCAAUGAGAAACAAAAGAAACCGUUUCCUUUAUGUUUGUAUAACAUUUUAAGUUUCGAGAAGAACAUAAAACAAUGUUCUAGAUGUUUCUGUUUUUACAAUAUAACUAGUUGUCACUGUUUAAAAUGUAAAAAAAAAUAUAAUAUAUUAUUAAAAAACCCACAUUAUUUUAUAUUUCAGCAUGGUUUAACAGCAAGUGUGGUUGAUUUUCAAAACAUGAUUAAUUAUUUAUUAUUAACGAACCCUAAUUUGUUUGCAUAUAUAACAUACAGUAAUCAAAGUCAUACUUUUGAAGGUGUAGAUGUAGGGACAGAACGAUUAUGUACCGAGUUGGUGUGUUUAUUUAAUGUUAUAAAUAAUAAAAUAAAUAUAUCUAUGGUUGGACAUUCUUUAGGAGGUAUAUUAAAUAGAUCUGUCAUUUUAAAGUUAUAUCGAAAAAAAAUAUUUAAAAAAAAAAAAUUAAUUAAUUUUAUUACAUUUGCAUGUCCACAUGUAGGUGUACAUGAAAACAUGGCAAUAUUCAAAUCCUUAUCUUCUUAUUUAUAUUCUCAUACUGUUGACGAUUUAAAUAAUAAAACAACAGUUUUAUUAAGAAUAGCUACAAUCGAAAGUAUAAAUGUGUUAAAACAGUUUAAAAAUAUAAUCUUCUAUGGUAACUGUCAAUCAGAUUGGCUAGUAGGAACAAGGACAUCUCUUAUUUUACCUUACACAAUUUUUAAUGAUGAUUUGUUUAUGUUUAUAGUUGAGCAAUCACGUAAUACACUCGAAAUACCAAUCAAUAUUUUUUCAGUUGUUCAUUUAUAUAUGAGAAAAAAAAAAUUAUUAUUUUUUUAUUUCUAUCAAGAUUCGUAUAAUAAUAUUUAUGAUGUUAUGAAUCAAAAAAAAAAACAAAGCAAAUUUUUUAAUCAAAUGUUACAAACGAUUAUGUUA
rnacentral:lncRNA from 1 species